rnacentral:rRNA from 1 species
UACGUAGGGUGCGAGCGUUGUCCGGAAUUAUUGGGCGUAAAGGGCUCGUAGGCGGUUUGUCGCGUCGGGAGUGAAAACCUUGGGCUUAACUCAGGGCUUGCUUUCGAUACGGGCAGACUAGAGGUAUGCAGGGGAGAACGGAAUUCCUGGUGUAGCGGUGAAAUGCGCAGAUAUCUGGAGGAACACCGGUGGCGAAGGCGGCGUUCUGGACUGCAACUGACACUGAGGAACGAAAGCCAGGGGAGCAAACGGG